GGCCCCAUCGUCUAACGGCUCAGGACUCGGCCCUCUCACGGCCGCAAUCGGGGUUCGAAUCCCCGUGGGGUCA
rnacentral:tRNA from 1 species